rnacentral:rRNA from 1 species
CAUUUUUAGAAUACAUUAAAAACUAUGCCUGCUCAAUGAAUUUUAAAUAGCCGCAAUUUUUGUGCUAAGGUAGCAUAAUCAAUUGCCUUUUAAUUUAAGGAUAGAAUGAAAGGCCAAACGAAUAAAUUUCUUUAUUUAAUUUUUUUAAUAAAAUUAUUUUUCUAGUAAAAAAUCUUGAAAUAAAUAAAAAGACGACAAGACCCUGAUGAACUUUACUUUAGUUAAGCUGGGGAAGCUAAAAAACAAAAUCUUUUAUAAUCUUUAUAAAAAAGAACCUAUUUGAUAUUUGAACAAGUUACCACAGGGAUAACAGCAUAAUAAAAUUUUAAAGCCCGUAUUUAAAAAUUUGUUUAUGACCUCGAUGUUGAAUUAAUUUAACCUAUUUAAAGCAAAAUACAAAUAAGGAAGACUGUUCGUCUUGUAAAAAAUUACAUGAUUUGAGUUCAGACCGGUGUAAACCAGGUCGGUUUCUAUCUUUUUUAAAUAUAUUAUAGUACGAAAGGACCUAAUUUAUUUUUAAAACAAAUUUGACAGAAUACUGUAUUAGAAUUAGAAUCUAAUUAAGAAAAUAUCAUAUAUUUAUUAAAUACUUUAAUAAUUUUAAUCAGAAUUUUAAUCAGAGUAGCUUUUUAUACAAUGUUAGAACGAAAAAUUUUAAGAUAUAUUCAAGCUCGAAAAGGACCUAAUAAAGUAAGAAUAUUAGGAAUUCUACAGCCUAUAUCUGAUGGAAUCAAACUUUUUACUAAAUCUUUUUCUUUUCCUACUCAAACUAAUAUAAAAAUUGCUUUAUUUUCUCCAGUAAUUUUAUUUUUGUUAGCUCUAUUAAUUUGACCUAUUUUACCAUUUUCAAAAAAUAACAUUUUAGACAGAUCAAUAAGAAUACUAAUUUU